UGAUAAUAUUACUGCCAAAAAUACGGUAUAAUGUGUGAUGUUUUCUAGUAUUUAUUGACAUAAAGAGGUUGCGAUGACCUUUAUCCUAUUUAUUUCCAAAGGUUCUUCAACUGUCCUUCACUUUAAUCCUUUGAGACCCAGGCCUCUUUUCAGUUUGAUAAGACUUAUUGCAACAAUGAGAGCAUACCUGUCUCUGGCUUUGCUGUUAUGUGCAAUGCUAUACAGAAUGUAUAACAGGGUUGACCCAUCUAUUGAAUGUGAAGAUUUUUUUGCAGUUGGAAAGUGAUGGAGCAAUAACAUCCCUCACUGACCACUUGCGAAGAAACAAAGCUACUUAUUUAAUACAAUAUAGUUGUAGUGCACUUGCAAUGCAGGAGGUUAAGCUGAUGGAAGAAGAAAAUGUAAUGUAAUUAAACAUUUGAGAUCAAAUGUGACAAAUGAAUAAAAAAAAUCUGCAAUCCCA